AUGCAAGUCGAGCGGAUGAGAGGAGCUUGCUCCUCGAUUCAGCGGCGGACGGGUGAGUAAUGCCUAGGAAUCUGCCUAGUAGUGGGGGACAACGUUUCGAAAGGAACGCUAAUACCGCAUACGUCCUACGGGAGAAAGUGGGGGAUCUUCGGACCUCACGCUAUUAGAUGAGCCUAGGUCGGAUUAGCUAGUUGGUAGGGUAAAGGCCUACCAAGGCGACGAUCCGUAACUGGUCUGAGAGGAUGAUCAGUCACACUGGAACUGAGACACGGUCCAGACUCCUACGGGAGGCAGCAGUGGGGAAUAUUGGACAAUGGGCGAAAGCCUGAUCCAGCCAUGCCGCGUGUGUGAAGAAGGCCUUCGGGUCGUAAAGCACUUUAAGUUGGGAGGAAGGGCUCAUAGCGAAUACCUGUGAGUUUUGACGUUACCAACAAAAUAAGCACCGGAUAACUCCGUGCCCCCAG
rnacentral:rRNA from 1 species